CCUACGGGGGGCAGCAGUGGGGAAUAUUGGACAAUGGGGGCAACCCUGAUCCAGCCAUGCCGCGUGUGUGAAGAAGGCCCUCGGGUUGUAAAGCACUUUCAGUGAGGAAGAACGCCUGGUGGUUAAUACCCAUCAGGAAGGACAUCACUCACAGAAGAAGCACCGGCUAACUCCGUGCCAGCAGCCGCGGUAAUACGGAGGGUGCGAGCGUUAAUCGGAAUUACUGGGCGUAAAGCGCGCGUAGGUGGCUUGAUAAGCCGGUUGUGAAAGCCCCGGGCUCAACCUGGGAACGGCAUCCGGAACUGUCAAGCUAGAGUGCAGGAGAGGAAGGUAGAAUUCCCGGUGUAGCGGUGAAAUGCGUAGAGAUCGGGAGGAAUACCAGUGGCGAAGGCGGCCUUCUGGACUGACACUGACACUGAGGUGCGAAAGCGUGGGUAGCAAACAGGAUUAGAUACCCCAGUAGUC
rnacentral:rRNA from 1 species